rnacentral:rRNA from 1 species
GAUGAACGCUAGCGGCAGGCCUAAUACAUGCAAGUCGAACGGUGUCUUCGGACAUAGUGGCGCACGGGUGCGUAACACGUAUGCAACCUACCUUACAUUGGGGGAUAGCCUUUCGAAGGGGAGAUUAAUACCGCAUAAGACAGUAGCUGGGCAUCCAGCAGCUGUUAAAGAUUUAUCGAUGUAAGCUGGGCAUGCGUCCAAUUAGCUAGUUGGUGAGGUAACGGCUCACCAAGGCAAUGAUUGGUAGGGGAACUGAGAGGUCAAUCCCCCACACUUGCCCUGAGAUACGGGCCAGACUCCUACGGGAGGCAGCAGUAGGGAAUAUUGGGCAAUGGACGCAAGUCUGACCCAGCCAUGCCGCGUGCAGGAUGAAGGCGUUAUGCGUUGUAAACUGCUUUUAUACAGGAAGAAACGACUCUUGCGAGAGGCAUUGACGGUACUGUAUGAAUAAGCACCGGCUAACUCCGUACCAGCAGCCGCGGUAACAC